AGUCAGCCCAAAGCCCCUCGAGAGGGUCAGGGGUGAGGGGUUAGGGCUGAGGGAGGAUGGGCUUCAGAGCCGCCUGUUUCUUCUCUCUCUGGCCAAGGUGGAUGGAGGUUUUCAGGACUGGCAAGUUUCUCCCCAAAUGGCAUGGCAGCAAGCCCGGCUUUCACCAGCCAGUCAGGAUGUCAGGACUGAGGAAUCAGUAUGAGAGGAGACAGAUCAGCAGAUGCCCGGGGCCUCGGGGACAUGUACCGGCAGGCGGAGGCUGUGAUCCAGACUGGCCAACAGCCCGAGGCUGCUAACUAGGCAGCAUGGCAGCCUCUGAGGACUGCACACCCCCGGACUGCACGCCCCGCCUCCACCGAACAGCCCCUGUCGCCCACAGGCACAGCCUGGCUCCUGGGCACCGGGAAGGACACCUGGUGGCUUCUCAGCCUCCAAGGGCUCAGAGGAGUGGCGGGACAGACAUGGGUGGGAGUGCCUGACACCAGGCCUGGCUCGAGCAUUUGGGGGGUGUGGGGACCCUGUGUGCUCAAGGAGACCCUGCAAACACCCUUAGGAAGUAGCUCCUGUGUGGCCAACUGAGCCAGGCCCUCCCCUGACAUGGACACGGUAGCUCUGUCUGGGGUCCCUGCACUCUGCACCAUGGGGGUGACAGGCAUCCUAACACGAGCUGGCCUCAUCAGCGCCCAAGGCUGUGCACGUUGGGCAUUACGCCAGCUCCCCUGCAUUGUUUGAUACUAUGGCCUAUUUACAUAAUCAUUGUUUUGCCUGAAAGAUCUCCACCCAUGCCUGCAGGGCACAUUAAUCCCGCCAGCUUUCUACCUUCCCAGAGUGCCUUGUUUUUUCCACCCCCUUUCCUAGCCAAUCCCGUUCCCGACUUGCAACAUCCGUUUUUACCCGAUAAAGCCCGCUGCUGUUCCUGGUUUCACUCUCUUUCUCUUCCAUGCCUCAACCAGGAGUAGGGCUGGCAUGCACAGUGGGAGACGGCCAUUUUGCUAGCUCCACGUGGCCUAAACCCUCUGUGCUCACACCCAGCUCUGGGACUCCCACAUGAAUAAAGACUUGUGUUCCCGCUCUGC